AAAUAGAUAAUUGGUGCCAUGAAGAAAAGUCAACAUGAGGACAAAAGAUCUCUCAGCAAGGCAAU
rnacentral:lncRNA from 1 species